UGGGCAGUAGCGCAGAGGUCGUCGCGUCGCCUGAUCAGGGCGGAGGACGUCGGUUCGAAUCCGUCCUGCCCAU
rnacentral:tRNA from 1 species